ACUCCUACGGGAGGCAGCAGUGGGGAAUAUUGCACAAUGGGGAAACCCUGAUGCAGCCAUGCCGCGUGUGUGAAGAAGGCCUUCGGUUGUAAAGCACUUUCAGUAGGGAGGAAGGUAGUGUAGUUAACACCUGCAUUAUUUGACGUUACCUACAGAAGAAGCACCGGCUAACUCCGUGCCAGCAGCCGCGGUAAUACGGAGGGUGCGAGCGUUAAUCGGAAUUACUGGGCGUAAAGCGCAUGCAGGCGGCCUGUUAAGUCAGAUGUGAAAGCCCGGGGGCUUAACCUCGGAAUUGCAUUUGAAACUGGCAGGCUAGAGUCUUGUAGAGGGGGUAGAAUUUCAGGUGUAGCGGUGAAAUGCGUAGAGAUCUGAAGGAAUACCAGUGGCGAAGGCGGCCCCUGGACAAAGACUGACGCUCAGAUGCGAAAGCGUGGGGAGCAAACAGGAUUAGAUACCCUGGUAGCACAGAG
rnacentral:rRNA from 1 species